rnacentral:lncRNA from 1 species
CUGUAUAGGGAGAAAAGAACAUUUAAAACAAUUUGAUUAGUGAUUAAAAAAAUUAAAUUGUUAAGCCAAAUGCAAGAAUUUUGAAGUAAUUAAUAAACACAUGUACAUACUUACUUGCCCUUAAAGAAGGCAUAAGGUUUGUAAAAUUCUGCCAACCGCAUUGCAAACUUGAUUUUGCGAUUAAGGUCCAUGUAAACUUGCCUAAAAUACUGGCAACUAAGGAUGUUCACCAAAUACAAUACCUUUACAAAUUAGAAACAUAAAAAAUAAAUUAUAAUAAGAUAUGGGAAUUUAUUAAUAAAUUAUUCUAAAAAAUUUAAAUAAAUAUUUAUUUUUCUAUUACAUAUAAUCAAGUCGUUAUACUAUUAAUUUGAGUCAAAUAGAUCCUUAUAGUUAGAGAGUAACUAACUGCCAUUAAUCAAAGCGUCACACGUUGUUUUAAGCCACAUGAUGCUGACAUGAAAAAUAACAUAUAAUCAUGCCAUCAUAGUAUAUCAAUAUGUUACGUCAGUAUUUGUUAUGAUGCAUGUCUGUGAUGUCAACAUAAUGUAACAUAAAAUUACAUCUAACGUUUAACUAAUGAUAGUUAGUUAACCAUUAGUUCUAAAAUCUUAUUUGGUCCAAAAUAAAAAUUUAAGUGUUUGAUUGAAUACAAAGUAUAAUAAGUUAUUUGAAUUUAUCUAAAUAGUUCAAAGACUCUUUAGAUAAUAUGCCAAAAUAAAAAUUAAGACUGUGACAAACCUUUAAUAGGAACACAUAUUUAAUCCACAUGUAUAGAAAAAUUCCAUUGACCGUGCUCAAGAGUGUUACUUUACGAACUUUAACUCUUUGUCUGUUUCUAUUAAUCCAUGGAUUUCAGUGAAAUAACAAUAUAAAAAUUUUUAGUGAAAAAAUUUUUAGUGAACUUCAACACGUUAUUUUAGUAUGUCAUGUCAUUAACUGUUAUGACAUGUCAGCAUAUUGUGUCAAUACUAUGUGAUAUAAAAAAACAUGUAAUGUUUUAAAUAAUGACAGUUAAUUAACCAUUAGUUCUAUGGACUUAUUUGACCCGAAACAAAAGCAUAACAGUUUGAAUGAAUGCAAUUAGAAAAAAAAUAAUUGAUUUGAAUUUUUUAAAUAGUUCAGAGUCCUUUUAAAUAUUAUGUCAAAAUAAAAAUUAGGAAUGUAACAAACCUUCAAUGGAAACACAUAUUUAGUCCACAUGUAGAGAAAAUAUCCAUUGAUUGUGCUCAACACUGUGAGUUUACGAACUUUAACUCGUUGUCCGUUUCUAUUAGACCAUGGGUUUUCAGUGAAAUAACAGUGUAUAAAUUUGCAAAAAUCCCCGAGUUUUAAAGGAUUUUUCAAUGAGGAGCUAACAUGGUAAAUGGUCUGACAAGAUUGAUUACUUGUGUGAACUGACAUGGCCACGACCAUUGCAUUUACCACCAUGUCUGCAGGUAUCUGCAUAAAUUUUGAAAUUCACGUUUUUCACUUGCAAUUAGACCCAGCUAUAGGAAGAAAAUGGUAUAUGUUAUCCAGAGAUUAAAAAUUCUCACCACAUCGAGGGCAGAGUUAGGAUAGCCAGGAAAACAUGUUAAUUUCCCCUUGCCAUAACUCACAAUGACGCUAUCUAUAGUUCUGUAGUAACACAAAUAUUAAUGAGUCAUUAUUCCAAAUAUACAAUGUUAAUGAAAGCAAUAAAUUGCAUUAAUGAAAUAUAAUAAUAAUCCUAAAUCAAAUACCAUAAAAAUUUGAAGUUACAAUUUGGUCAUGAUAAUUACCUCACACCUUCAAUCCAGCCAGGGAAGGGUUCUUUAUAAGUGCUUGCAAUCAUGGUAGGGCGGAUAAUGACAAAAGGCAAAUCUCCUUUGAAGUUCCCUAAAAGCAUCUCUCCCAUUGCCUUUGUAAACACGUAUGUGUUAGGCCACCCAUACAAUUUUGCCCUGUAUUCAUAAGAAACAAGGUUUACCACUGUUUUCUUUUUACUUUUUUUUUUUAAAUUUAAGAUAUCGUCCAUACAAUUCAAGGUGAAGUGAAAAUGAUGACGGUGAGAGAGAAACCUUUUGAGGCCGAAUUCCUUCAUUUCUGAUUUUAUUACUUCGUUUGGGGCAUGUUGGAAUCGCAAUUCAUCUAAUUUUUCCUCUACAAUUCUCUUCUCUUCAAUAAUGUCUAAUUUACAUGUUUUCAACAAUGUAUCAUCCACGGAAAAUGGUUUUUCUAAUAUAAUUCCUGCUUCUUCACCGCACACGUAGGCUAAAAGAAAAUUAUGAUAAAAAGCAUGAUUGUCAAUCUUAAUUUAUCUCCGAUAUAUGUUCUGAAUGCACUAAAAUUUAACUAUGUAUAUAACAAAUAUCAACCACUAAUUAAUCAAGAACGAUCAAUUAAUUUCAUAUUUACCAGUUGAUGUGUGGAGAAACAGCUUUAUCUUAUCACAUUUCUUCGCAAAGCUCAAAACGUUAAGAGCUCCAAACGUAUUGAUGGCCAAUGCAACAUCAUAGCUUGAAAAAUAAGAGGAAAGAAGAAAAGAAAAGCGGCGAAUUAUAGGCAAAAUUAUGUUCUUAAGACAUACUCCUACAAUUCAAAUAUGAGGAUUCUAAAUUACCUUUCAUUGAAUCCUGUCGUGGCAGCAACAUGUACUACAAUUUCUAUUUCUUUCAACAUUUGUUCCCUUAAUUUUGAUUCAUUCACCCCCAAGUUUUCGGAAGAAAUAUCGCCAGGCACUGCUAUCACCUUGGUUAAUAUAAAGGAAUCAAAUUCCGAACCCCAAUUGUCUCGAAGAAUCGUAAACAAUUCUGUAUCUAUAAUCUACAUAAAAAUUAAGAUGUGUAAGUUUUUUUUUUUUGUGAAUUUGAAAUUGAAUUUUAUAUCACGUGUAACAAAUUGGAUUGAAAUAAAAAUUUUAAUUUCAAAUUUAGUAUGAAUCAUAUGAUAGAACAGUAGUAAUUACGAAUAUGACUUUCAUGAUUAUCGUAAAAUUGUCUGAAUUAUGGAACUUAAAAUUCAUUAUAUACCUCACUAUGCAGGCGUUUUGUGGCAGAUUUAGCAUCUGCAGCCUUCAAAAGAAGAUAGAGCUUAUUCACAUUUGGUUGAAUCCUUAAUAUCUUCUCGACAAAGACUGAAACCGGAGUUCAGAAUUAAAUGAUUAAGUAAAACUAAAAUGAUUAAUUAUAUUGUGUUUUAAAUGAAAUCAUCAUCCUUGGCUUCGUAAGAGAGAGAGAGAGUACUCUUUGCCAAAAAUCCAGUUGCACCAGUGACUAAAAUAGUUUUGCCUUGAAGAAACUUGACAACAUGAUCCAACUCCAUAUUCAUGUCUGAGAACCCAAAAAGAAAUCAAAUAAAAGAAGUAACUUUUUUAUAAUAUUUAUUGGAAUAAAAUUGGGUAAAAUUCAAUAUUUGAUAGAAGAAAAGAUAAGAUAAAUGUAUGCUUCCCAACAUCUAAAUUGCAAUGUUUAAUGAUAAUUUGGAAGUAUUGAAAAUAAUAGUAAUUAAAGUUGAAAAAUAAUAUAACAUGUGGCAUCACCUUGAUUUUGGAAUUUCUUUUCCCCUGUUUUUUUUUUCUCUUGUUCUUUUGCCUGUUCUUCCUCUUCGUCUUUAUGUGAGUUCUAAAAGGUAUUUAUAGGGGAGAACCAGAGCUGUCGAUGGAAGGGGAAAACCCCCAUUUUGGUGCCCUUAGGCCACAGCUUUUGUGCAGUGAAUGAGUUAUGGCAUUGAUAGAGGAGAACCAGAGCUGUUGAUGGUAGUGGAAAACCCCCAUUUUGGUGCCCUUAGGCCAAAGCUAUUGGUGGUCCUAUUUCGUGUAUCAUAUCCCAUCUUAAUUGAAUGUGAAUAUGAUUGUUAACACCUUUAUAAGACUUUAGGUUAAUCACUAUUAGUAAAUUAUGUUUAAACUUUUAAAAAUUAUGUAAUUUAGAUCCGAAAAAUUACUAGACUGGUGAUGUUUGCAUCAGGAUCAUUACACUAUGUGGUUCGGAGUAUGCAUGUUAGAUUACAGCUAACUGAGGGCAGAAGCUGGAAGCAGGAUUAACGACCUAAAUGAGGAAGGCAAAGGAGAGACGUGUCAAGGUCAAGGAUGGAUUAGUAGGAGGGAUACCUUCCAUCUCUGCUCUCCUCAAACACUUAUAUUUGCUUUAAAAUGAUAUGGAAUGUGGACAAAUAAAUAUUUUUUUAGUACAAAAAAAAAAGAAUAGAAGGUAUGUUUGAGAUUUCACUUAAUGACAAUUAAGUGAUUUGGUGUAGCAUUGCUGUAAUGAUCUACAAUAAGGGAUUGAUAAUUUCACACCUAUUGAGGAGAAAUUUAUAUGCUGGUGGAGAAAUUAUCAGUUUGAUUGCUGUUGAUGUUGGGAGGGUUGGAGAGUUUAACUGGUGUUUACAUGGUCUACGGAUGGCCCUUUUGCAAGUUGUACGGAAAUCUUGGUUUUUCCUAACUUGUGGCUUUUGCUGCAACAGUCUUGCUAAUUAAUGCUUGCAAAGCUUCCAUUAGGCAAAUUGCAAUGGAAGCUUCAGGACAAAUUGAUGGAUUCAAAAGGUAAAAAGAAUGAAGGCAACAUCUAAGGUUUUAAAGAAUAUGAGAAUUCUGAAGCUUCAGGGAUGGGAAACGAUGUUCAAUUUGAAUUCAAAAGAAGAAUUUUAAUUUCAUAUUACAAAUUAACAUGAUUUUCAUGAUUAUCAUCAAAUUGUCUGAAUCAUGUUAACGAAGUGCGGAACUUAAAAUUCAUUAUAUAUCUCAGUAUGCAAGCAUUUUGUGAGAGAUUUAAUAUCUGCAGCCCCUACAGAAGACAACUUAUUCACCAUUUGGUUGAAUCCUUAAUUAAUAUUACUCUUUGCCAAAAAUCCAGUUGCACCAGUGAUUAACAUAGUCUUGCCUGGAAGAAACUUGACAACGUUAUCCAACUCUAUAUGCAUGUAUGAGAAUCCAGAAAGAAAUCAAAUUAAAAAAAGUAAUUUAUUUAUUGUAUAUAUUGGAAUAAAAUUGGGUAAAUUUGAAUAAUUUAAUAGAGAAAAGAUCAGAUAUAUAUCCUUCCCAACACUUCACCAAGAAAUUGCAAUGUUUAAUGAUAAUUUGGAAGUAUUGAAAAUAAUAUUAAUUAGUGACUUGAAAAAUAAGAUAACAUGUGGACACCAACUUGAUUUUGGAAUUUCUUUUCCCUUGUUUUUUAUUUUCUUGUUCUUUAACCUGUUUUCCUCAUUUUGCGAAUUUGAGUUUAAGAGGUAUUUAUAGGGGAGAACCUGAGCUGUUGAUGGUUCUUGUCAAAAAUACCUCUCAUACAUAAUGUGCUUUUUUAAAAUAGCUCUCUCUAUAAUUUUAACUAUUUUUAGUCAAGAGAAAUUACUUUUGGACUAAAUUACCUUUAAUGAAACAAACCCAUAUGUUUAGGUCUGCGCCUCAAACUGACUCAUAUCCUUUGAUCUUUCCUCAUCAGACCAUUUAUCUCUGGAGUAUUUCUUACCAGAAAGAAAAACUUUUAAGCAUUUUGAGUAUUUUAGAGUGAUUUUUGAUAUACGUAGAAAACUUUUGAGCGUUUUGAGUAUUUUUAAGCAUUUGGAGUCGUUUUUGAUACAUAAAGAAAAACCUUUGAGCAUUUUAAGCAUUCUUCGACAAGUACGCAUAUUCGUUGAUUAUAUUGUUAAAUAGAAUAUGGUAUAUUAUUUGAAGUUGUUGAUUUUGUUAAAUGAAAUUCAGUAAUUUUGGUGAUUUUUAGGCCUUGGGUAACCGAUAUUUGUGCAUUGCGUGACUAGUUUUUAGGCAUUGCAUUACUAAUUUUUAGGCAUUGCAGGAUUGAUUUUUAAGUAUUAUGUGACUAGUUGAUAUGACAUUACCUAACAGAUUGAUAGACAUUGCGUGACUGGUUAGUAAGGCGUUGCAUAACUAGUUAGGAAGACCUUGUGUGACUUAGGCAUUGCCUAAAAAUCAGUCGCAUAAUACCUAAAAAUCAAUCACACAAUGCCAAAAACCAAUCACGUAAUGCCUGAAUAUUAGAGACGUAAUGAUUAAGGCAUGCAAUGCCUAAAAACUAGUCUUACAAUACCUAAAAGCUAGUAAAGCAAUACCUAAUAACUAAUUGAUUUACUUGCUCGCAGUCAGGUUUAAGUUGCCAAAGUCAUACAGUAUUCUAAUUUUUUUUUUUUAUAAUUGGGGGAGAGGGGAUUCGAACCCUGCUCUUUAAGCAAGGCGAUAAUGCACCAACCAAUGAGCCAAAUGCUCUUGAGUCAUACAAUGUUCUAAUUUAUAGAUAUAUCUAAUCAAUUUCAACCCCCUCAACUAUGGGGUUCUAUGAAUAAAUCAAUAAACCCAAUAACUUAAAACACAUACCUUGAUAUCAUCUCUGCACUUUGGGGUGGCAAGAAAGAGCUGGACGACGAGAUAGACAGUAUUUGCCAAGAGAGAGAAAUCGGGAUUUGAUUUUGAAAUUUUUGUCUGGAUGGUGACAUAAAGAAAACUGAAACCAUUUUAAUUUGUCUGAAAUUAUUUAAAGGGCAUUGUUAUCAAGUCAUGUCAAAAAUUGACUAAAAAUAGUUAAAAUUAUAAUGAAGGAUAUUUUUGAAUUACGUUUAUGAGAAGGAUUAUUUCUCAUAAUUUUCUCUAGUAGAAAACACCCCAUUUUGGUGCCCUUAGGCCACUACUUUUGAGCAAUGAAUGAAGUUAUGGCAACCGAUGGUCCUAUUUCAUGUAAUGGCCUUUCCUUUCUGAAAUUGGGUACUUCAAUCCGAACAUAAAGUUAGGUUUAGUUUCUACCAAAUUUAGGGGCAUGCUAGAGGGAAGCCCCAGCCGAAAGAAUGUGGAGGUGGAUUCCAAUGGGUUUGUUAAGCAGGUGCAGACAUUGCUAUCAGUUUGUCCAGUUUGGCUCUCAGAGUCAAAAAAGGUUGCUCUCUAACAAUCCCUAUCAAGGUCUUAGACUGAACCCCACAAGAAAUAUUUGGUCUUUAAUUACUUGGGGUAAGAAAACAAACAAAAAUUCAGACUAUGAAUUCUUUAUUUUACUUUGAAGCAAAGAUAAAAUGAUGAAGUAUCAACUACACAAAUAAAUGAAGAACUAUCAAAGCAAUAACAUCUGUUAUUGGUCACAACGAAAGUAAUGCAAGUAUUCUCCUUCUUUCCUCAUCCGUUAAGUUGUUCAAAGCUUGAUGCCCACUACUUCGUUUUUUUUUUAAGAUUUGAAGAAGGAGAUUCAAACUUUACUCUUCAAAUAGGAAGAUUAUACAUCAGCUAAUGAAUCAAAUAUUCGUGUGUGCCUUCUAUGUAAAUUUUAUUCAAUUAAUUUUAUUUUUUAAUAAUAAUUAAGAUUUAAUCCAUGUCUUAAGACGCCAGGAAUGUGAAUGUUCAUCAUGUAAUCCUUCCAAUCAAUACUCUUGGAAUCGAAGUCAAAUACACCCAUAUCAAUGCCUCUCCCUUGAGCCACCAUUCGCAACUUGUCUAAAUUUGUGUCACUAAAGCUGUAUAGGGAGAAAAGAACAUUUAAAACAAUUUAAUCAGAGAUUAAAAAAAUUAAAUUGCUAAGCCAAAUGCAAGAAUUUUGAAAUAAUUAAUAAACACAUAUACAUUCUUACUUGCCCUUAAGGAACACAUAAGGUUUGUAAAAUUCUGAGAACCACAUUGCAAACUUGAUUUUGCAAUUAAGGUCCAUGUAAACUUGCCUGAAAUACUGGCAACUAAGGAUGUUCACCAAAUGCAAUACCUUUACAAAUUAGAAACAUAAAAAUAUAUAUAUUAUAAUAAGAAAUGAGAAUUAAUUAAAUAAGAGAAGUUCUUAU